AUGACACAUAUCAAUCAUCAUUUCCUUGCCGCUCAUCCAUCAUCAUCUGCAGUUCUGAUCAUCAUCUCUUCAACGCUUCAGUCGCGGAUUCGUCAUCUUCGUCCGCUUUAUCACUUCCGCUCCAUCGUGUUUCCGUUAACCGUCGAUUCAACCUUAUCGUUCAUCCUCUCCUUUACUCUGCUGCCGUUUCAACCUAUGAAAUUCAGUUCUCCGCCACACUCACCUCUGAUUUUAAAGUUUGGAUCACUGAAUUCACAAGUACAAAUGCCAGAAGAAAAUAAACACUACACUUAA